rnacentral:rRNA from 1 species
CGGCGGACGGGUGAGUAACGCGUGGGUAACCUGCCUCAUACAGGGGGAUAACAGUUGGAAACGGCUGCUAAUACCGCAUAAGCGCACAGUACCGCAUGGUACGGUGUGAAAAACUCCGGUGGUAUGAGAUAGACCCGCGUCUGAUUAGGUAGUUGGUGGGGUAACGGCCUACCAAGCCGACGAUCAGUAGCCGACCUGAGAGGGUGACCGGCCACAUUGGGACUGAGACACGGCCCAA